UGUCAUUUGAAGAAACCUCCUUUCUUUCACAUUAGAGACUCUCAGAGAAAAAGCUGACAAGCAGCCCAUUACUCUGACAUGUGACAGAGCAAAGACAUAGAAGAGCUCACUGGUGUAACCAUUCUUUUUAAAACAGACUCACCCAAGGUAGCACUGCAGAUGUAUUUUGCUUUUGCUGUGAAUGUUGACCAAAUUACAUAAAAAUAAAAAAGCUCCAUGAAGAAU